rnacentral:rRNA from 1 species
UUGGAGGGCAAGUCUGGUGCCAGCAGCCGCGGUAAUUCCAGCUCCAAUAGCGUAUAUUAAAGUUGCUGCAGUUAAAAAGCUCGUAGUUGAAUUUCGGGACCAUCAUGUCGGUCGUGCCUCGGUACGUACUGGUAUUGUUGGUUUCUCCCUUCUGACGAACCAUGAUGUCAUUUAUUUGGUGUUGUGGGGAAUCAGGACUGUUACUUUGAAAAAAUUAGAGUGUUUAAAGCAGGCUCACGCCUGAAUACAUUAGCAUGGAAUAAUGAAAUAGGACGUUUGAUUCUAUUUUGUUGGUUUCUAGGAUCGACGUAAUGAUUAAUAGGGAUAGUUGGGGGCAUUAGUAUUCAAUUGUCAGAGGUGAAAUUCUUGGAUUUAUUGAAGACUAACUACUGCGAAAGCAUUUGCCAAGGAUGUUUUCAUUAAUCAAGAACGAAAGUUAGGGGAUCGAAGACGAUCAGAUACCGUCGUAGUCUUAACCAUAAACUAUGCCGACUAGGGAUCGGAUGAUGUUAAUUUUUUAAUGACUCAUUCGGCGCCUUACGGGAAAC